GUACACUUUGUCCUAAAGCAGCUUUGCAAACAAGAGUGCCCUACAAACUUCAUAGCAAGCAAGGCAAAGGCAACAAUGGUAAGGAGAACAUGAGUUUGUCAAGUAAAACCAUUAUGGAAAUAAAGCCGUUUUCUAUAAACUAAAGAAUACAUUCAUGCUGACCGACCAGGGGAGAGCAGAGGGAAAGUCAUGGACUCCCACCAGGGAUGAGUUUGUCAGGCACUUCAGGAUGUUGCCAGGGUGGAAGAUUGUGCUACACAAACUGUCAAUGGAGCGUGAAAUCCGGCCAGCCAUGCAUUAUGGAUGGGGCAAAGUCCACCUUAUUUUUAGAUCACAGCUCUCAUGGAGCUGCAAUACAGUGCAAUAUGUGCUUUACUGUAUUAGUUAGGCCAAAUAAAGCCUGAUAUAACUGACAGCCCUGUUUCCCAAAAUGUAAAUAUUUAAGCAGGCACACUGCUAAAGCUUUUAUGAUCAAAUGAAUAGUUGAGGAUGCCCAUUUCAUUAAACAGAAUCCUUCUCUGCUGGGAAAAUGUCAAUCAAACAAUCACUUAGAUCAGUGAAAAUCAGCUGAUGGAUCUUGACCCAAAAAUAGGCUGUGGGAAAAGUUCUGAUAGGGUUGUGUAUAGAAGGGAAAGACUUAAUAAAUAAUAAAAUGCAACUAACCAUAUAAUCAUAUACAUAUUUCAAAAAGUGAAACUUUCAUAAUUUCUAGAUUCAUUACAUGUACAGUAAAACAUUUCAAAAGUUUUUUUUUUUUUUUUUUUUAAUUUUGAUAAUUUGAGAUCACAGCUCAUGAAAGUCAAAAAUCCAGUAUCUCAAAAUAGUACAAUAUUUCCUAAGAUCAAUUAAAAAAAAUCAGAAAAGCUCAAGUUCUUUAAAGUAUGUUCAUUUAUGCACUCAAUACUUAGUCGGGGCUCCUUAAGCACAGAUUAGUGCAUCAGUGAGGUGUGGCAUGGAAGUGAUCAGCCUGUGGCACUGCUCAGGCACUAUUGAAGCACAGGUUUCUUUAAUAGCGGCCUUCAGCUCAUCUAUAUGGUUGGAUUGACUUUGUCAUCUUUCUCUUGAAAAUAUCCCAUAGAUUCCAUAUAGGGUCCAGGUAAGGCAUGUUGGCUGGCCAUUCAAGCACACUAAUAUCAUGAUCAGCUAACCACUUGGAAGUGGUUUUGGCACUGUGGGCAGGUGCUAAAGUCCUGCUGGAAAAGGAAAUAAGCAUCUCCAUAAAACUUGUCAGCAGAUUGAAGCAUAAAGUGCUCCAAAAUCUCCUGGUAGACGGCUGCAUUGACUUUGGACUUGAUAAAACACAAGGACCAACACCAGCAGACGUCACGGCUACCCAAAUCUUCACUGACUUCAGAAACUUCACACUGGACUUCAAGCAGCUUGGAUUCUGUGCCUCUCCAGUCUUCCUUCGGACUCCAGACCUUGAUUUCCAAAUGAAAAAUUUACUUUUAUCUGAAAAGAGGACUUUGAACCACUGCGCAACAGUCCAGUUCUUUUUUUCCUUAGCCCAGGUAAGAUGCUUCUGACAUUGUUUCUGUUUCAGAAGUGGCUUGGUAACCCUUUUCCUGAAGACGUCUGAGCUUGAUGACUCUUGAUGCCAUGACUCCAUCUUCAGUCCACUCCUUGUGAAGUUCUCCCAAGUGUUUGAAACAGCUGUGUUUGACAGUAUUUUCAAGCUUGCAGUCAUCCCUGUUGCUUGUGCACCUUUUCCUACCCAUUUUUUCAGUCAACUUUGCAUUUAAUAUGCUUUGAUACCGCACUUGUGUGAUGUGAUCAUGCCCACGCAUAUCACACGUGCUCUGUAGACAAAGAAAGUUUCAAGUUCAUCUCGGCUACUUUUCGUUUUUGGAAGAAUACGCACUGUGAGGAAUAAGCCUUGAAUUGUGAUGCUGACGCGGCUUAAUCCAGUGGAUGAUCUCAUUUUGACAAGUCAUUUUUUAUUUAUUUAUUUAUUUACUUUUUUUUUAAACUUAUAUUAGUGUUACUGUGACAAACUUGUACACAUUCACUUGUUGUACUUUUCCCAAACUACUGUAUAAUACUAUAAUAUGUUGAGUGCAACAUUUUGAAAUAUGAUAGGCAACCAUUCAUUGCAUCUAAAUGCUGUAGGAUUCGUCUGCAUUUUACCUGGCAUUCUCUUGUGAUUUAUUAAAAGGCAUACUGACGCGCAAAACAUAAUUUUUUUUCUCACAGUUUUUAACACUGCAUUUGUAACUUAAGUAACGUAAUAUUAUUGAUUAGUAACUGUAAUCAAAUUACAUAAAUUUAUAAUAAUGCAAUACCAGGAAAAGUAAUUAGAUAACAGUAACACAUUAUACCCAACUCUGAUUACAACACACAUUAUGAAUAAUUAUAAUGCAUUAUACCCUUUAAAAACCAUUUAUAAUGCAUUAUACUUAAAAGCUUUAAGUAAAGUGUUACUACUGAUUCUUUAUAAGUGAUUCACUGAACAGAUUCAUUCAAACAAAGUGAUCCAUACAGGGACACAAUAACACUAGUAUGUGUUGCUUGCAGACAUCCAAAGGUAAUUCUGCUGUGGCUUUUUUUUUUUUUUUUUGGUUGUGUAGCAGCAAUAGUAAAAACAUCUGGCAACAUCAUGUCUAAAUUUUAAUGUAUUGUACUCAAUACUAUUGUAACUUACUGUUUAUUAUUCGGCCGUCAGUUGAGGUUAUUUGUGCUCUGCAUUUGCUGGGAGGUUAUUAGUUCAAACACAUACUUGCCUUUUAUACAUUACAUAGACUGAAUGCUGACAACCAAAGUCCAAAAAUAAAGCGAAAUGCAAUAAAUGACAUUGCCUGUAAAAUUGGAAAAGAAAGUAAAUUGUUGCUGUUUCACUUUUGCCCAUUUUGCCUUGAGCAGGCUGCCCAUCAGUCCAACUCUACAUGCCUUUCUGGAAGAUUUGUUGGGUUUCACAAAAUAUACAACCUUUCUCUUCAGUGUAUUUCUGUGAUGUUAUCCAUCAUGUGGAUAGGAAGAAGGACAUUGCCAUCAGCAUGUUAGAACAUUGAAACAGGUUCUGAAGGGCACAUGUAAUAUUCACAUGAAAUAGUAAAAAUGCUUUACUGAGGCAUUGAGAAAUGUGCUACUGAAUGUUAUUGUUGUACAUCAUAUACUGUAGCCAUAUAAAAAUAAUUACUCUCAAAGCACUCUACAUGUCACAUCCAGUAAGCAAAACUGCUGGAGUGAAAAUGUCAGAUCCAGUAAAGAAAACUGAGUGAGAAAUACUUGAAAUGAAAAAUGGAAAUAAUGAGUGAUAGGAAAUUUGAAAGGAAAAUGAAGAACACCAUAAACCAGAGCUUCCUGUGGCUGUUUUGUCUUCUUUCUUCUUUAAAUCUCAGUAGAGAGCUGUUCAGUCAUGACGCUGAUAUGUAGACCAAUCGAGAAGGAUAAUUUGACACGGGUUUAGUCUGAAAAUGCAAAUGGGGUUUUAGAAAAGCAGCUUUAAUUGCUAACAAGUUGGUAUAGAGAUUGCAACAGUUUCUUCAAGAAAUUCACAUCCUUGUGCAAGUGGUAGGUGUUAUUUAGAGUUUUGUUAUUAAAGUUUUAAAAAAUACAGGAUAACAGCAUUGUAAAAUAUUACAUUUCAAAAUUACCAUUUUCUAUUUCAGUAUAUAAUGAAAUAUAAUUUAUUCCUGAUGGCAAAUCUACAUUUUCAGCAGCUACUCUUCAGUGUCACAUGAUCAGUAAGAAAACAUUCUAAUAUGCUGAUUUGGUGCUAAAGAAAAAUGUUAUUAUUAACAGUGUUGAAAACAGUUUUUUUUUUUUGCAUAAUAUUUCUGUGGAAACCUUGAUACUAUUUAUUUAUUUAGAUGAAUAAAAAGUUCAAAAGAACAGCAUUAGAAAUAUAAUUAUUUUUUGUAACAAUGUAGAAGUCUUUCUUGUCACUUUAAUUAACUUAAUGCAUUCUUUCUAAAUCAAAGUAUUAAUUUCUUUAAAAAUAAGUAAGUCUUAUUGACCUCAAACUUUUCAACAGUUUUAAAGCAAAUUAUUUUAACCAAACACUUUAAAAAAAAUGUAUUCUUGUUAAAUGUAUUCAUAUAAAUACAGUGCAUUGUGUCCUGUUUUUACUUAUAUUUUUUAAAGUGUAUAGAAAUUCCAAAGUGAAACCACAGCUCAAAAAUGUGAACUCUUUUCUGAGUUUAAAACCUACAAACUGAAUCAAUCUAUUCUUGCUGUUGUCUUUUAAGCAUAUUAUGACUUAUAAAUCAAUAUCUGUCCUAUUGUGAGAGACUUGUAGAAACUUUGAGUCAGUUGCCCUUUUAUACAGUAGUUCUCUCCCUAUGCAAUGUGUUCUGGAAGGGUCAGCAGUUUAAGACUAUAAAUAAACCAAAUCCUUGAAAAUGAGCAGACAAAUGAGAUAUUAAUGAACCUCACAUUAUACUUUAAAAUACUCUCAAAUUUUAGUUCGUCAAACCCUUAACCUUUUUUUUUUUACUUGGUUUUUAAUUUAAGAGGGAGGAAUAAUUCAGUGGGUGAGACCCAUCCCUCCACCCUCCCGGUGAACAGAGGCUCACCUGUCACUGUGGGCAUGCUGAGGGCUUGCAGACAGCCCUGUUCCUGCUGCCUCUUAUUAACACUAGGGAUCUCAAAUCCUCAGUGUGCUGCUCUCCACAUGAUCGCCUGUAAGAAUGGCAGGUUAGACCCUCAUGAACCCCAGAAUCGGUCAUUAUUAGCACCUCUUUUAAGUGAAUAGUUCACCCAAAAUGAAAAUUCUGUCAUUAUUUAUUUAUAAAUAGGCCAAAUAGACUGUUAUUCUAAAAGAGCAUGACUUUCUUUCAUUGAGCAAAGUUUUGAAGAAUAUCCUAGGCAUUUGUUUGAAUAUAAUGCAAGUAAAUGAGGAAUUGGGCUGUCAAGCUCCAGAAUAACAACAAAAGUUUUACCAUUGAAUAAAGGAAGUCAUGUGGGUUUGAAACAGCAUGAGGGUGAGUAAAUAAUGACAUACUUUACAUAGUUAGGCCAUUAUUCCUUCUACACCCGUAUAUCUGAGAUGCAUUAUGGGUAUGCACACCCUGGUCAAGUCUUAAAAAGAAUAUGUUUUCUGCAUAGAUGUUUGUGACACUGAGACAGCUGCUGUA
ensembl:lncRNA